AUACUUACCUAGCGCUGGGAGACCGUGAUUUCGCAGGCGGUUCCCCCAGGGUGAGGCUGCUCCAUUGCACUGCGGAGUGGUUUUGACCCUUGCGAUUAUUUUUAUUUUUUAUAAGUUUCACUUCUAC
rnacentral:snRNA from 9 species